rnacentral:lncRNA from 1 species
CUUCAUUCUCAUUCAAGGAUGUCUCAACAUCUUGCAUGACAACCUCUUCAGUAACAACAGGGGUUGAUUUUUCAGCCAUCAUCUCAGCAAUUGUGGGUGAUUCAUUAGCAGUUUCCGUUUCAACCUUUGUAGGAGUGUCUUCCUUCUCAGUUUCAACAGGCAUAGAAUUAAGAUCUCUUUUUUCAGCUUCAGACCCCAAUUUUUC